rnacentral:tRNA from 1 species
UGGCGCAGUGGUCAAAGCGUUCGGCUGCUAACUGAAGGGUCGGUGGUUCAAACCCACC